CAGAGCCCAUUAGCAUUGCCCAUGAAGCUGAUCUCCUUAGCUGGCUGAUUUCUCUCUUUCCAAGCCUAAGAAUCCUAACCUAUACUAUGUGUUAACUGCAAAACAAUCUAAGCAGGUUCUUCAGGAGUUAUUUGGAAGAAGAAGGCAUUGUUAUCACAGGAGAUGACAACUCCAUGUGUGACACAAAAAACCAUACCAAAGAUAAAUGACACUAAAAGUUGGUUUUUUGAAAGAAUAAGUAAGACUGAUAGACUGCUA